rnacentral:rRNA from 1 species
GGCUCAGGACGAACGCUGGCGGCGUGCUUAACACAUGCAAGUCGAACGGGGAUUACCGAGCGGAAGGCUUCGGCCGGAAGGUUGGUAAUUCGAGUGGCGGACGGGUGAGUAACGCGUGAGCAACCUGUCCCAGACAGGGGGAUAACACUUGGAAACAGGUGCUAAUACCGCAUAAGACCACGAAUGGACAUCCAUUUGGGGUAAAAGGAGCGAUCCGGUUUGGGGUGGGCUCGCGUCCGAUUAGAUAGUUGGUGAGGUAACGGCCCACCCAAGUCGACGAUCGGUAGCCGACCUGAGAGGGUGAUCGGCCACAUUGGAACUGAGAGACGGUCCAAACUCCUACGGGAGGCAGCAGUGGGGAAUAUUGGGCAAUGGGCGAAAGCCUGACCCAGCAACGCCGCGUGAGUGCAGAAGGCCUUCGGGUUGUAAAGCUCUGUUAUAGGGGACGAAGGAAGUGACGGUACCCUAUAAGGAAGCCCCGGCUAACUACGUGCCAGCAGCCGC